rnacentral:lncRNA from 10 species
GAGGAAGAGCGCCGCAGCCUCGGCAGCUGGAGUCGGAGCAGGGGGGGAUGGUUUCAAAAAAUAAUUAAAAAUCGAGGAAAUAUCCUAGAAAAGCCCUUUUGGCGUGAAAACCCCAAAGAAGAGCCAGGCUUCCCGAAACAGAGGUUUCGGGUGCCAGAAAGAAGAAUCUACCAUAAAACCAACAGACUCCUCCUGAUCUCUACCUGUGCUGUCUGCCUCUCUAGUUCCGGACACUGAGAGCUGGUGCCCUGUGGCCACCUCAAGCUGGAACCCUGCAAGAUCACCAAGAAGACUGCAUGCCUCGCUCUAGCCUUCCUAAGGGAAAGUAGACUCCUGUUUUUGAGAGAAAUUACCUGAUUUCAAGAGAAACAUAAAGGACUUUUUUUCCCUUAACAUUCCACUCGUAAAAAUGAAGUUUGGAAGAACUUCUGCAAACUCUGAGUGUUUUGGUCAAUUGACCUUUUACUGUACUAAGCAAAUCUGAAGCCACAAAUACAUUGGGGAGGAAGGUAUACCCUUCACAAAAGAUCCGUCACUUAGCCAGAUACUCUGUUGCCAUGCUUCUUUAAAUAAAGCACAUUUCUGGUAUAUUUUAUUUAUUUAUUUUUAUUUUUUAGAGUUGGGGUCUUGCUCUGUUGCUCAGGCUAGAAUGCAGUGAUAUGAUCAGAGCUUAUUACAGCCUUGAACUCCUGGGCUCAAGUAAUCUGCCUGCCUCAGCCUCACAAUUCAUUGGGAUUACAAGCAUGAGCCACCGUGCCUGGC